AGAGUUUGAUCCUGGCUCAGGAUGAACGCUAGCGACAGGCUUAACACAUGCAAGUCGAGGGGCAGCACAGGUAGCAAUACCGGGUGGCGACCGGCGCACGGGUGAGUAACGCGUAUGCAACUUGCCUAUCAGAGGGGGAUAACCCGGCGAAAGUCGGACUAAUACCGCAUGAAGCAGGGGCCCCGCAUGGGGAUAUUUGCUAAAGAUUCAUCGCUGAUAGAUAGGCAUGCGUUCCAUUAGGCAGUUGGCGGGGUAACGGCCCACCAAACCGACGAUGGAUAGGGGUUCUGAGAGGAAGGUCCCCCACAUUGGUACUGAGACACGGACCAAACUCCUACGGGAGGCAGCAGUGAGGAAUAUUGGUCAAUGGGCGUAAGCCUGAACCAGCCAAGUCGCGUGAGGGAUGAAGGUUCUAUGGAUCGUAAACCUCUUUUAUAAGGGAAUAAAGUGCGGGACGUGUCCCGUUUUGUAUGUACCUUAUGAAUAAGGAUCGGCUAACUCCGUGCCAGCAGCCGCGGUAAUACGGAGGAUCCGAGCGUUAUCCGGAUUUAUUGGGUUUAAAGGGUGCGUAGGCGGCCUUUUAAGUCAGCGGUGAAAGUCUGUGGCUCAACCAUAGAAUUGCCGUUGAAACUGGGAGGCUUGAGUAUGUUUGAGGCAGGCGGAAUGCGUGGUGUAGCGGUGAAAUGCUUAGAUAUCACGCAGAACCCCGAUUGCGAAGGCAGCCUGCCAAGCCAUGACUGACGCUGAUGCACGAAAGCGUGGGGAUCAAACAGGAUUAGAUACCCUGGUAGUCCACGCAGUAAACGAUGAUCACUAGCUGUUUGCGAUACACAGUAAGCGGCACAGCGAAAGCGUUAAGUGAUCCACCUGGGGGAGUACGCCCGGCAACGGUGAAACUCCAAAGGAAUUGACGGGGGGCCCGCACAACCGGAGGAACAAAGUGGGUUUAAUUCAAUGAUACCCCGGGGAACCUCUACCCGCGGUGUGAAACCAUUCCGGACCCAAGGGGGGAGACAACCUUUUCUAGCAAUAGCCGUUUGCGAGGUGCUGCAUGGUUGUCGUCAGCUCGUGCCGUGAGGUGUCGGCUUAAGUGCCAUAACGAGCGCAACCCUUGCCACUAGUUACUAACAGGUGAUGCUGAGGACUCUGGUGGGACUGCCAGCGUAAGCUGCGAGGAAGGCGGGGAUGACGUCAAAUCAGCACGGCCCUUACAUCCGGGGCGACACACGUGUUACAAUGGCGUGGACAAAGGGAAGCCACCUGGCGACAGGGAGCGAAUCCCCAAACCACGUCUCAGUUCGGAUCGGAGUCUGCAACCCGACUCCGUGAAGCUGGAUUCGCUAGUAAUCGCGCAUCAGCCAUGGCGCGGUGAAUACGUUCCCGGGCCUUGCACACACCGCCCGUC
rnacentral:rRNA from 1 species